rnacentral:piRNA from 1 species
UGGAUUUGAAAAGGAUGGUCACUUCC